AGAUUUGUGGUUAAUACAGGAGGACAGAAAUGGUUUGUAAAAUAAAGCACAGCAGUAAAUCCAAGCCAUAGGCUCUAUGUUGCACCGGGACGGAUACGGGGACAGAUACGGGAACGGGGGCGGGGACGGGAAACGGCUAAACUUAAAAUUUAUGGAUACGGGUACGGCAUGGGUACAUCUAUAAUAUAUAUAUAUAUAUAUAUACAUAAAUAUAAA